rnacentral:rRNA from 1 species
UACGAAGGGGGCUAGCGUUGCUCGGAAUCACUGGGCGUAAAGCGCACGUAGGCGGAUCGUUAAGUCAGGGGUGAAAUCCUGGAGCUCAACUCCAGAACUGCCUUUGAUACUGGCGAUCUUGAGUUCGGGAGAGGUGAGUGGAACUGCGAGUGUAGAGGUGAAAUUCGUAGAUAUUCGGAAGAACACCAGUGGCGAAGGCGGCUCACUGGUCCGGUACUGACGCUGAGGUGCGAAAGCGUGGGGAGCAAACAGG